CCCAGCCUUGGAGAAUCCCUGCUCCCCACCCCUCCCACCAUGGCACACGGGACCCAGGUCCAGAGGGUCCAUCUCGCAGAAUCCCCCCCUUCCCAGGACAGCCAGAGAUCUAGACCCUCAUGUCCGGAAAUUUCAAUGCUUUGGGCGUUUCCGGAAUCUGGACAGGACAUCCGUUUGCCGGACACAGAACAGACAGGCAAACGUCGGGACAGACAGAGGUAAGGGGUGGCAGGCCCAAGCAGGCACAAGAAAGGGAUGACCAGGAGGGGAAAAGAGUGGGGAAGAGAUGGGAGGGGGGACCACAGCACAGGUCCAGCCUCAUUCCAGGAAUCACAGCCUCCACCCAGGUCAUGUUUCGCACAUGCUAAGUGCAUGCAUGAGCCAGAGGAAUCCUCUAGAGCCCUCCCAGGGCUGAGGGUAGAGGCAGAAACCCCGGCCCACCCAGCCCCAAGGUCUGACCUUAUGUGAUCGGCAACACCAGAUACGCCCAGCUCCACGGCAAGGCUGACAGGCCAUCAGCAGGACUGGGGUGGGGGACAGGGGAGCAUGGGGGGAGACACAGAGGGGUUGGGGGCAGGUGCAGAAGGAGACGAAAACCCAGUUACACAGCAACCACAGGACAACAAAGGGAUUUUGAGGCACUGAGGGCACCAGAGCCACACAAUGUGCCUCAGAUUCUGAACCAAAGCUCAGGAGUCACUGAGGCCUUGCUUGUCACAGAUGUGGAAGGUGAGUCCAAGGCUGUGAUGUUCACAAGGUGGUACCUGGAGAACCUGGCUGGUGGCAGGUUGGUGCCAGGCUGUGUGUGUUUAUGUGUGUGGGAGGGGUGACCCAGCCCUGCCACACGUACCCAGGUAGAGUUCCAGGUACAAGAGAAUCCCCCUCUGGGAUAAGGCUCCACCUGGCAGCCCUGAGCGUAGCCAUGUGGGUCCCCCAUUCUUCAACCUAAUGAGGUGACUCUAGCACUUCCUCCAACAGGUGCCAAUCUGGGUGGCGUGGGGACAUCAUAAAGCUCAGUCUGGAGGCGGGGGUGGGGGGCGCCAGAGCUUUGUUGUGAGGGGGAGGAGCACGGACUGAGCGGCCUCCUCCCCUCCGGGCCACUGCGCCAGGCACCUGUCCCAGGUGGAGUGGCACCUGCCAGGAACCGAACGCGGGGGGGCGGGGUGGCGGUGGAGGAAGGAGUGCCGCGUUGAGAGGCGGGUGCGACAGGCACCGGGACGCACAGCCAGCCACAGACAUUCGAGUAGCGCUUCCGCCGCUCCCCCUCUAAUUUUCGGUGAGGGGCGGAGCGUGGGGGUGCGGCGGGGGCCUUCGGAACCUCCCCGCUCCCCCUCGGAAAAUGGCUUGAAUCCCGACUCCUUCACUGACUCGCCGUAAGAUCCUGUGGCUGCUGAGCCUCAAUUUUCUCCGUUGUACAAUGCAGACCUUGUCUGUAGAGCUGUUGCAUGCAGGUGGAGUUCCAUAGAUGCAGACUUGUGCCCAAGCGGAAGAAAAUGGAGGCCUCUACGGAGCUUCUUCGGGGUCUCUAGAACGUGCAGCUUGGCUCUUGGCCAACCCGCACUCCCUUGGAAACCCGGUGGAGAGAAUGUGGCAAAUCUAGGCUCCAAGCUGGCCCAGGGAUUAGGCCACUGUGUUUGGGGAUGGGCUUUCUGCUGCCUGCCAGGUCCCAGGCUCCCUCUUCCCUGGAUGGAGCUGGGGAACCCUGCCAAGUUCCCGCUCCAACCUUCCAACAUUCGUUUAUUCAGUGAAUAUUUAUCGAUGCCCGCUGGGGACUUUGGUGGCACUGGAAACAGAGUCGCACUUAGGCUUGCAACAGGGAGACCAAGGACUUUUUGUGCAAUCUCAACCGAAUAUGAUAACUGCGCUGGCGCCUCCCUGCAGCUGCUCUGGCCCCUCUCCAGGCUGCUCUGGGGCCUCGGAAACCCUGACCUGUUCCUGGUUCUCUAGAGGUCGUAGGAAAAACACCCACCCCUCACCCUGGUCUACAGGGUAUUCUUUUGUUGUUGUUGUUUUUAAGAUUUUAUUUAUUUAUUUGAGAGAGAGAGAGAGAGAGAACAUGAGAGGGGAGAGGUCAGAGGGAAAAGAAGACUCCCCACCAAGCAGAGAGCCCAAUGUGAGACUUGAUCCCAGGACUCCAGGAUCAUGACCUAAGCAGAAGGCAGUUGCUUAACCAACUGUGCCACCCAGGCGCCCUGUCUACAGGGUAGUCUUAUCAGGCCUGUGCCAACCUGUCCAGCCACAUCCCCCUGCACUCCCCUUAUCCCCAUCCAGCAACACUGGUCUUCCUUCUGCUCCUCAAAUAUUCUCACUUUACUUCCAACCACAGGGCCUUUACACUGGCUGUUUUCUGGUCUGGAACGUCCUUCCAUCACAUCUCCCAAGACUAGCCUUUUCUGAUCAUUUAGGUCUCUGUUUAAAUGCCACCUCCUCCAAGAGACCUUUCAGUACCCUGUCCUAUUUAUUAUAAAUAUGGCCCUGUUGUCUUUCUUUUAACUGUCACUCCUCUCUGAAAUUGCUCAACAUUUGGCCUAUGCUCACUCAGUCUUUGCAGAAUGUGUGAGCGGACACAGUGUGAGGUGUCAGAAGAACGGUAUCCCAAGACAGCCCAUGCCUUAAGGAGGCAACUGCCCCACUGUGGGAGAGGCAGAAGGGCUGGCACUAAGGACAAACUGGGAAACUACAAGGGCGGUAAAGAUGAAUAGGGUGUCUCACUGAAGGAAAAGCAGGGCAAUGUCCUAGAAGUAGGUGAGGGAGAACCUGGGAUGUCCUGAUUCUUCGCCUCAUCUCCAUUCCGCGGCCCUCAUUCAUACCACUCUGGUCGGAUGGUCACCGCCCCUCAAAAACGCUUAUUCCUAUUAUUCCUCAUCCCUUAUUCCAGGGCCUCUGCCUGCCGUGUUUUCCUUCUCCUCUUGGCAUUCUUUCUUCUUCACUUCAUUUCCAUCUUGGCUCAAAUGCCUCCUUAGAGAAGUACUCCCGGACUGCGUCUCCACCUAAAGCAGGCCCCCCCCAUCUCUACUAAACUCUACCCCUCACACUGCUCCCUUUUUUUCUUCCUUGCAAAUUUUAAUAGACUUUAUUUUCUUUCUUGUCUGUCUCAAUCAGGAUGUCAGCUCUCCAAGAACAGGGAUCAUUGUCUGUCUUUUCACUGCUGAGUCCCCAGCUUCUAGAACAGUGUCUAGCACACGGAAAGUGCUGGAAUAAAUAGCUGUGGGAUGUACAGGUGGUUGAACAAGCAGAGCAUCAUGGGGUAUGGCUGCAGGGUUUAGUGCUGAUGAACCUGGAGCAGGGACAGUCUCCAGAUACCACAGAUGAUGGGGAUGGAGGGCCUCCAGCACCUCCCUGAAGUUCGAACUUGACCCUGAGGAUUGUUGGUGCUGCUGACGGAUUCUUAGCAGAGGAGGAAAUGAAUGAGGAUUCUUUCUCAAAAGGCUCUUUGCAAACCAAGUCUCCCACCAGCCAACUGGGGGUCAGAAAAAGAAAUGGGAGUAGAUUCAUCUGAUACCAGAAAGGCUAAAUGUAUCAACAAAGCUAAACUCAAAAACUUUGGGUUGAGGGGGACAAAAAAAAAAA